CCUGUGCAUCGCCUCGUCGCUGUCCCCGUCGCAAGGCGGGGAGGGAGGAAAGUCCGGGCAGCGCAGGGCACCGUGCUUCCUAACGGGAAGGGGGCGUGGCGGGGACGCCACGUCCACGGAAAGUGCCGCAGAAAGGGAGACCGCCGAACCGCAGCGAUGUGGUGGCAAGGGUGAAAAGGUGGGCCCGCCUCCGUGCGGGAUAGGCGCUUCGGCGCUCAAAGCAAGAGCCCACCAGUGCCGGUGGCGACAUCGGCAGCUUGGUAAACCCCACGGGCUGAAAGACAAAAUAGGCCGGGAACCACCAACGCUCCGCAAGGGGCGGCGGCGGUAAGGGCGGCCCGCCCGACCCCGGCGGGUAGGUCGAUGGAGGCCCAUCGCGAGGUGGGUCCUGGAUAGAUGACGAGGGCCUCCGCCGCAAGGCGGGGGAACAGAACCCGGCUUACAGAUGCACAGGCCUU
rnacentral:RNase_P_RNA from 1 species